ACUCAAAUGAAUUGACGGGGGCUCACACAAGCGGUGGAGCAUGUGGCUUAAUUCGAGGCAACGCGAAGAACCUUAUCCUGGAUUUGACAUGGUCGGAUUAGCGCUCUGAAAGGAGCGUGACGCCUUCGGGUGGAACGAUCACAGGUGCUGCAUGGCUGUCGUCAGCUCGUGUCGUGAGAUGUCGCGUUAAGUCGCUAAACGAGCGAAACCCCUGUCCCUAGUUGCCAGCGCGUCAUGGCGGGGACUCUAGGGAGACCGCCGGCGUCAAGCCGGAGGAAGGCGGGGAUGACGUCAAGUCCUCAUGGCCUUUAUGUCCAGGGCUGCACACGUGCUACAAUGGCGUCCACAGAGGGAAGCAAGGCCGCAAGGCGGAGCCAAUCCCACAAACGACGCCCCAGUUCGGAUUGCAGGCUGCAACUCGCCUGCAUGAAGCCGGAAUCGCUAGUAAUCGCCGGUCAGCAGUACGGCGGUGAAUGUGUUCCUGAGCCUUGCACACACCGCCCGU
rnacentral:rRNA from 1 species